rnacentral:piRNA from 1 species
UGUAACUGCUUCAGACCUGUGUCA